rnacentral:lncRNA from 1 species
GAUCCCGUCUUUUCUUCUCUCUCCGUCACUCUCACCUCUUCUCCGCCGACAUCGCAACGGUUCGCCGGAGCAUUACGGCGGCGCCACUAACGUCUCAAAACUCACUCCGUUUACUCGCCUGCUUUACUUCCACCGCUUUUAAUUAACAGUGAAGUCGCCGUCUUUUGUAUUCAGUUUACCGUUGUUUUCGGAUUAAUCAACACAAGGUACUGAUCAGUUCGUAAUUUUGGUCUCCGCUUUUAUCAUUUACUAUUUAAUUUUUUUUUAAUUUUACCAUUUCUAGAAUCCUCUUAUUUCCUCUUCAUGUUUUAGAUACUUUCGGAGAUAUUUAUAGUGUUUUGUUUCCUAUUUUUUUGAUUUCAACCUUUUUUUUUCUUUAUUGAGUUUUCCAGAAGUUUGGGAUUUUAGUGUUGCUAUUAACAAAAUGAGUAAUAAAGCAGAUGAAAAAGAAGGAAAAUUUUUAGUUUAUAUUUUGGUUUUCUCUGUCAUUUUUGGUGAAAUUCCUUUGUUCUAUUAACAAAAUUAGUAAGGGCAUUUUGUGUUGCAUUUUCAAGUCAUUUUGUUAAGAGUUCAAGUUCUGUCGGUAUAAACAGUAUUUACAUACGUAUUUACAAAGCCAGGUUUAAUUGAGGUAACUCUAUAUAAUAAUCUAUAAUCUAGAAUAAAUGGUUAGUAGCCUGUUAUAAUAGAUUAAAUUACAUUGAUGCUGUGAAAAAUUCAUUACACUGUCAGUGCGUAUAACUUAAGUCCUUUUGUUAAUAGCAGAGCUUGGUUAACCAGUGCUGUUUUGUCUCAGGAAUUC